CCUUUACCUGUGCUAGGACAGAGUAUGUGAGGCAGAUUCUCCUGACUUACAUGAUGUCUUUCAGGUGAGGAAGAGACAAAACCAAUGGAUCCUCAGGUGGCAUAUAUGAUACGGAAUAUCACUGGCUUUUGGAUACUAUUACAUAUGUAUUGUUCAUUCACGUUUUUCAAAAUUAGAAAAAGACUAAAGAAAAACGCUUUUAUGUGGCACAUGCAUGGGAUCCUGUCAGUGACUUAUUCAAUGGAAGUGGGUGCUUGUAUUUGUUAUUUGUGGACAAAGCACAGUUGUCCAGGAUUUAUUCUAAAGGAGGAUUGGGUGAACUGGUGUUCUUGGAGUCUCAUUUUGACCAUAUACAUGCUCAUAAUAAUAAUUAUUUUGAAAUUUUUCGCUAAGUUUUUUUUCUUUUUUAUGAUAAUGCUCUUUUCAAUGAAUUUUGCCAAUAUUGAGGGCAUUAUCUUUUCAAUGCCUAUAUUAAGGUUACUUUUUGUAAGGUUUCUUCCCCUUAUUCUUUCAAAAAUGCACUCUGCUACUGGGAGAUAGGAGGCCCUGUCCCAGGCUUUCUGUGCAGCUCUGAGCCUUGGCUUUGAGCACAAAGGCCCCUCGUGUUUGCAGGGGGAAGCUUUGACUGCUCUGUUUAGGAAAUAGCCUGUUUCCCAGAGUUUGCUAUCUGAACUGGGACUGGAAGCUGACCUACUGAUUUGUUCUUAGACUGAGCCAGGGCUGAGCAUUUUCAGUGUGAUUUGCUUUCAUUAAGACCCUCUCACCAAAUUUUCCCACAGUCUAUCUGAGCUGGCCUGAACACACUUUUCAUCCCAAUCAGACUGACUUUUCUUGAACUUUUUUCCAGUCUAUGUUGAGCUGGAAAUUAGAUUCAUUCCAUUAGAUUCUAUUCAGAGGCUUGGUUUCAUGUGAUUUUCCAGGGAAACUGGGAGAACUGGAGCAGCUCCCUGAUUUUAUUCCACCAUCUUGCCCCACCUCAGAAGUCUUUUUUCCCUAUUCUUAUUUAAAGGUUUGAGUUCCAAAUUCUGUCCCUCUCUUCCUUCUCUCCCCUCCCCAAGAUUGUAAGCAGUCAGAUAUAGUUUAUACAUGUGCAACUAUGUAAAACACUUCCCUAGUAGUCAUUUUGUACAAGAAGACUCAAAUGAAAGAAAAAAAGCAAUAAAGAGAUAAAUACCAUAUUUCACCCUGAAUUCAGCCAGUAUG
rnacentral:lncRNA from 1 species